GAUGAAGAACGUAGCGAAAUGCGAUAAGUAGUGUGAAUUGCAGAAUUCAGUGAAUCAUCGAAUCUUUGAACGCUCAUUGCGCCCUUUGGUAUUCCAAAGGGCAUGCCUGUUCGAGCGUCAUUUGUACCCUCAAGCUUUGCUUGGUGUUGGGCGUCUUGUCUCUAGCUUUGCUGGAGACUCGCCUUAAAGUAAUUGGCAGCCGGCCUACUGGUUUCGGAGCGCAGCACAAGUCGCACUCUCUAUCAGCAAAGGUCUAGCAUCCAUUAAGCCUUUUUUUCAACUUUUGACCUCGGAUCAGGUAGGGAUACCCGCUGAACUUAAGCAUAUCAAUAAGCGGAGGA
rnacentral:misc_RNA from 1 species